rnacentral:lncRNA from 1 species
UUUAGCAGGUCUGGUUGCUAGGACUGGAGACAUGAGAAGCAGGUAGACUGGCUCCUUUGAUCCCACUCAGUACUCCUAAUCUCCAGUGGUCAGAGCACACAGGAAAGAGGACACCUGUGCCCCUCCAUCCAACUAUGAAAAACAAAAAAGCUGGCACCAAGAAAUUUGAAUUUUCCCAGGAAUCUCAAUGCUGGGAGAAAGAAAAGGCUGAAGCCUGGUGCCAGCCAAAGAGAGCUUGUCUCUCAGGAAGAGACUUCACAUGGUUCUGAAGAAUGAGAAUAGUCACUAUGACCUUCUCAUACCUUUGUGUGAAGUUGUGUGAGACAGUGAGUUAAAGGGUAAGUGACAAUGUUUGGCAUAGAAUAUACCCUGGCAAAGCAUAGAAUAAAAAUGUCUGUUCUAUGUAAUUGGCUUUGGAAUUGUACUUU